GAUUUCUGAGCUGUCGGCGAGGAAAGAACGGAGAACCGACCGCCGUCAGCCUGCGGGAGGCGAGCCGUGGCUCAAGACGUUCGUCUACGUUCUGAUCCUUGGAACAGGAGAAACACUUUCCGGUUGUUCUUGGCCUAGAGGCAGUAACUACGAGGUGGAGGGUUGGCAGUGCUCUGCUUCCUGCAACCACUCCAUCAUCAGCGAGGUCGGGCCUCCUGGGAUCUCAGCCACCGUGCGACGGGACCAUCACAGAAGAGGAGAUGGAAUUUCUGAUGCAGCAAUUAAAAGAUUCAUGGUGCUUGAGGAGGUCAAGCAUAGCGAUGUCCCGAUGGCGCCCCUUCAUUACCCCCUCGUUGCCGCUGCAUCGGGCGAGCCGCAGCACGCACCGGCCCCAGAGCUGAGCAUGGACGGACAAAUCUGUGCGACCCAAGCAGUGUUGAUGGCAGGAAGGGAAAAUUCACCCCAAAAUUAGUCUUGAUUGAUGAACCUAGAAAAUCCCUCGAAUUGGAUCUGACUAAGUGCCCGAGCUCUCCACCAGUAAGAUGAACCCGCAGAGCUCUCCACCAGCAAGAUGAACCCGCAGGUAUCACACAACAACCAGAAAUACCUUGUUGUUGUUGGCAGUUUGGCGGGUGUGGCCUCAUAAAAAGGAUGUGCCUGUUGAAGAAAUGGACUUGCCUUUCAUCCAUGUCCCGACGUGCAUGCCGAUCAGAUACACAGAGCCCCUGUAACCUGAUGUGUGCUUUUAAGAUUUAUUGUUUUGUGAACCCAACUAUCUUAUAUACAAGAUUGAUGUACGAUGUUUAUUUCCUGGUACAGAGAUAGAAAGUUUAGCAAUAUAUUAUGGGAAGUGCGUAGAUACAUGAAUGCUUAAUGACAUUGAUAGUGAGCUAAAAGAAAAUUUAGCAAUUUAUUAUGUUGUAACUUCAUCAUAUAAACUAGUGGUUAAAUUCAUGUGGUAAAUCGUUCAGGUAAGUUUUAUGUCAAGAGUGCCAGGUGAACAUCCGGAUGUUGCAGAAUUGAACACAGGUAGGGUUGAUGUAUCAUAUGCCUGAUUUGGGUAUCUGCCAUUGGAGUUGCUUAUGAACUUUGAUAUGGUCUUUCAUAUAACUAGUAUAUAGAGGAAAUAUGCGAUUUUUCUGAGGAGGUCAUUGUUUGAUGUCAGGUACCAAAUUUGAAAGAAGUGGUACAAGUGUACAACUAGAGAAGUUGCGGAAACAAUUGUAGCUGCAGAAACAGUGACCCAAGGUGUUGUCGCUCAAGCUAACUAGCAUGCAAGGCCAACAACUAAGCGUCAUAGCAAGAGAUGUGUCCACAGAAAGAACCGGAAAUGUAGGAAGAGAGUCCAGUUAUUGAGGACCACACAACACAUUGAAGCAUCAGACAACUCCGAUGAUGAUGAAGAUAAGAGCAUCGAUGAGGCACCCACAAAUACUGGUGUCCGAAGAAUGAUACAUCAUCUGCUGCUAAUGGGGGGAUUUUUGCAAUAGAUAUGUGGAAGUUGAUCUACAGGUUAAUUAGUGUAACAAGGAAUAUGAUUGAUAGUGACGCAAUGCUUGAUAACUUAGGCGCAAAUCGUCUGAGGGAACAGAUGUAGUGUCCAGACAGAUGUUGGUGAACCUAAGGUUGCUAGUUCGUAUGGUGAGGACAAUUGUGUAGGGUGAUAUGGGGGAUAAAUUUCCGAAGGAAAGCCGGUUUUGAAGCACGAAGAGCCAAAUGCAGGAGAUGUGGUGAUUUUCUAUGACAAAAUCCUGUCAUGUACCAACAGGCAUUUUAGCAAGAUAUGGUUCAAGCACAUGGUUCCAACAUUGGCUUCCUGACGGGAGAGGACUACAUAAAGGAGUUUGGACAAUUAGAACAGUCUUGGUUAACAACUUAAGCUGAACCAACUUCACUAUCUCUGGAGGUCAAUUGGGUAUGAGGUGAUCUUGGUUAGAGGUAAACAUGGGUGAGUGCCCGACUUCAUGAUCGAGGAAGUCUUGUUCUGAUGUGGGAGUGUUAAUCUGGUAUGAUGUGGUUGCUUUUGGGCGGAACCUAUUUUAUUUUGUACAAGUUAAAUAAUGUACUCCCUCUGUCUCAAAAUAUUAGACGUUUUUUGUUCUAAUUUUCUUUUUGACGAAAAGACUGCAUGAUGCAGCAUUUCAUUGAAAUUAGAGAAGAGUUUUACAGGGGUAUAGCAACUAGCAAGUUACCAAGGAUACAAAGUUAGUAUCCAGCCACCUAAUUACAGUCUAAACCCCAUUACUAGCCUACCAACAACACAAAUAUUAAUUUGGUUCCCUAAGUCUGUGAAUCAUUAGGGCCACCUUAUGCUGCCUGCCAACGUCCAAUCAAUGAGAUCAUUCUUGAUUCGAUCCAGCACCUGUUCUUCCGUUGAGUUCUUGUGGUCAAAAAUCCGCGAGUUCCGCUCAUUUUUGUUCUAAAUGAAACUGUAUUCGUUUGUUGAUUUCAUGAUGUAGCUCAGACUUCUGCCAAUAUGAGGGUAAAUGUUUUAGAAACAUAUGAAAUGUUCAGAUUGUUUUGUACUCAUGUUAUGAUAAGUACAUGCAUGCUUUGUGAUGACUGAUGAACUAGAAAUCUAUGAAAUUCCUUUUUGUUCCCUUUCGGCAUCUCAGAAGGGCGCCUGUUGUAUGAACCAGCGGGUGGCUAAGCUGCUUAUACACAUAUAAAGCUUGCUUGUUGA